CCUACGGGUGGCAGCAGUGGGGAAUAUUGGGCAAUGGGCGCAAGCCUGACCCAGCAACGCAGCGUGAAGGAAGAAGGCUUUCGGGUUGUGAACUUCUUUUCUCAGGGACGAAGCAAGUGACGGUACCUGAGGAAUAAGCCACGGCUAACUACGUGCCAGCAGCCGCGGUAAUACGUAGGUGGCAAGCGUUAUCCGGAUUUACUGGGUGUAAAGGGCGUGUAGGCGGGAAAGCAAGUCAGAUGUGAAAACCAUGGGCUCAACCUGUGGCCUGCAUUUGAAACUGUUUUUCUUGAGUACUGGAGAGGCAGACGGAAUUCCUAGUGUAGCGGUGAAAUGCGGAGAUAUUAGGAGGAACACCAGUGGCGAAGGCGGUCUGCUGGACAGCAACUGACGCUGAGGCGCGAAAGCGUGGGGAGCAAACAGGAUUAGAUACCCCAGUAGUC
rnacentral:rRNA from 1 species